rnacentral:rRNA from 1 species
AACGAACGCUGGCGGCAGGCUUAACACAUGCAAGUCGAACGCCCCGCAAGGGGAGUGGCAGACGGGUGAGUAACGCGUGGGAAUCUACCCAUCCCUACGGAACAACUCCGGGAAACUGGAGCUAAUACCGUAUACGCCCUUAGGGGGAAAGAUUUAUCGGGGAUGGAUGAGCCCGCGUUGGAUUAGCUAGUUGGUGGGGUAAAGGCCUACCAAGGCGACGAUCCAUAGCUGGUCUGAGAGGAUGAUCAGCCACAUUGGGACUGAGACACGGCCCAAACUCCUACGGGAGGCAGCAGUGGGGAAUAUUGGACAAUGGGCGCAAGCCUGAUCCAGCCAUGCCGCGUGAGUGAUGAAGGCCUUAGGGUUGUAAAGCUCUUUCACCGAUGAAGAUAAUGACGGUAGUCGGAGAAGAAGCCCCGGCUAACUUCGUGCCAGCCGCCGCCGUAACAC